UUGCUUUUGACAUGGUUUUGCUGGAAAGAAUUGUGCAUUUUCCUGUGUUUUUAUUGUUCACAAACUACCAGUGGAGCUGCAAGAACUUUCUCUGCCCAAAAUAGGCUCUUAAAUAUCAUCUGGCUCCUCUGUUCCUGGGUACCCAACAGCCUCCCUCAACCCACUCAGCAGGAUGAAGAAUAUUUCAAGAGACUGGAGACAAACAAGUUUCCGGAAAGCUAUACCUGAGAGUGUGAGUGAAAAGCCACGAAAGAGACAACGAUCCCUUUUAGUGAACAGAGCUGCAUUCACAUGAUCCUGUGGCGUCAUAACCUCAUUUGUCUGGGAUCUCCAUCACUGCCUGGAAUUCACCAAAUGUAGAGACCCUGAACAGUUCCUUCCCUAAUUUCAACCCAUGUUCUAGAUGACUUAAAAAUAUCACCUCCUUGGGAGGAGAGACGCUAUCAAAUGCUAUCUUCUUGCUACCACAAGGCCAUUGCAACUAUGACCUCACCAAAGCUGAGGGUUCUGCUGUGAGUCUGCACAAGGACAAGCCUGUUGACAGUCAGACAUGGAUGAUGGAAGGGCUGAGGCUACCUACCAAACACUGCUGAUCUAUUGGGUGUGGAUAGUUUCCAGAAGAGGGAGAGUCUUUGUCUUCUGUUGUGUGGUUCUUAUGGAAAGUUCCAAUCCAAUAUUCACGCAGAUGGGCCCCCAAAUAAAAAGAAAAGUCAUGAAUCUGGAAAGGGAGUGGUAGCAAUGAGGAAGCCUGGGCGUUGAUAGGUAUGGAUGCAUGUAAGAAGGGGAUAUAGAGGAAAGAAUGAGCAGGAUGUAUUGUAUUUGUCUGUAGGAAACUGUCAGAAAACAAAAUUAACUUAAAAAUCCAUUAACAAUAAAACAAAUCAUUUGCUAUGUUCAGAGUUUAUUACAAAUGUAUCUUGAGCAUCGGCAUUUUAAAGCUCAUAAAUUCACAGGAAUUUUAUGCUCAGCAUUUAAAACUUUUAUACUAUGUCAGCAUCACAAAACACAUAUCAUAAGUUGGGUGAGACUUAACAAAUGCAAAAACAUGCAUUAAAACCUUUAUAACUUAAAAUUUUCCAUAUUUUUCAAAAUUUCUCCCGUGACCUUUCUUGGUCAAUAUACUUUCUUUAAUCUCACUCCACAUUCUUAUUUAUUCCAUCACCAAUGAGUAUAUCCUAUCCCAGGACUUUAUUUAAAUAGAAUCAAACUGUUCUGUAUGUCUGGCCUUAUUGAUU